UACGAAGGGGGCUAGCGUUGUUCGGAAUCACUGGGCGUAAAGCGCACGUAGGCGGAUUCUUAAGUCGGUGGUGAAAUCCUGGAGCUCAACUCCAGAACUGCCUUCGAUACUGAGAGUCUCGAGUCCGGGAGAGGUGAGUGGAACUGCGAGUGUAGAGGUGAAAUUCGUAGAUAUUCGCAAGAACACCAGUGGCGAAGGCGGCUCACUGGCCCGGUACUGACGCUGAGGUGCGAAAGCGUGGGGAGCAAACAGG
rnacentral:rRNA from 1 species